CUGUCGUCAGCUCGUGUCGUGAGAUGUUGGGUUAAGUCUCGCAACGAGCGCAACCCCUAUCCUUAGUUGCCAGCAUUAAGUUGGGCACUCUAGGGAGACUGCCUGGGUUAACCAGGAGGAAGGUGGGGAUGACGUCAAGUCCUCAUGGCCCUUAUGUCCAGGGCUACACACGUAAUACAAUGGUACAUACAAAGGGAAGCGAACCUGUGAGGGGGAGCAAAUCUCAAAAAGUGUAUCUCAGUCCGGAUUGGAGUCUGCAACUCGACUCCAUGAAGUUGGAAUCGCUAGUAAUCGCGGAUCAGCACGCCGCGGUGAAUACGUUCCCGGGCCUUGUACACACCGCCCGUCACACCAU
rnacentral:rRNA from 1 species